GCCUAGGUGGCUCAGUCGGUAGAAUAUGUGACUCGUGAUCUCAGUGUUGUGAGUUUGAACCCCACGUUGGGCA
rnacentral:tRNA from 1 species